rnacentral:rRNA from 1 species
UACAGAGGUCCCGAGCGUUGUUCGGAUUCACUGGGCGUAAAGGGCGUGUAGGCGGUUUGUUAAGUCUGGCGUGAAAGCUCUCGGCUAAACCGGGAGAGGUCGUUGGAUACUGGCGAACUGGAGGAUGGUAGAGGCGUGUGGAAUUCCGGGUGUAGUGGUGAAAUGCGUAGAGAUGUGGAGGAACACCGAUGGCGAAGGCAGCCUCCUGGGCCAGCACUGACGCUCAUGCACGAAAGCGUGGGGAGCAAACAGG